rnacentral:rRNA from 1 species
CACGGGUGCGUAACACGUAUGUAAUCUGCCCAUCACUGGAGGAUAGCCCGGAGAAAUCCGGAUUAAUACUCCAUAAUAAAAGACAAAGCAUUUUGGUUUUUUGAAAGCUCCGGCGGUGAUGGAUGAACAUGCGACUGAUUAGUUUGUUGGUGAGGUAACGGCUCACCAAGACUUCGAUCAGUAGGGGUACUGAGAGGUUAAACCCCCACACUGGUACUGAGACACGGACCAG